rnacentral:lncRNA from 1 species
CCUGGAUGACCUUAAGGUUACUGGUGUCGAUGGUGACGAGCCUAGUGAGCUGCCUGAUUGUGAUUUUGAGUUUGAGUUUGGAACUUUGGAUUUUGGUUCUCUGGAAGAACAAGCUGCUCCCCUCAACAUUGCUUGCGUUUAAGUUUUGAGUUUUGCAGCCAGUAGUUAGUAUUUAGGUUUAUUUAAGAGGUGAGAAAAUAUCUCAGGGACUGUAAAAUUGGUUCUUGAGAAGUGGUUUUUUGAGUGAGUUUUAAAUUUGAUUAAUUUCUCGAUGAGAAACCACAGAGAGAUGCUGAGGAAUGAUAUCUCAAUUUUGUGAGUUUAAAGGUUAGAGGAAUCCUCUGGGUUUUCCUGUGCUAUUAGAGCCGUCCAUUGGGUUCUCUAUUUCUUUCAUUUGAGUUUCUUCAAUGUUCAAGAGAGUUUUGAUCAUUGCCUUGCAUCUCUCAUUUUGUGUUUUUAAGUUAUUAUUAUCAUUACUAAUAUUAUUGAACUUAUUAUGAACUUAUGUUCCCCUUUAUUUGUAACAUCUUGCUCUCUCAUCUAGUAAAUGUUUUAAACAUUGUCAUUGGGGGUGAUUGGGAGUGUGCUUUGCUGUUGUUGCAUACAAUUCGAUGGCACAUGAAACUUGUGCAACAUUUUUUCUUUUUUGAAGAGAAAAAAGAAAAAGAUAGUUGUGCGAUAAAUUGUAAUGUCAAUUCAUAAGGAUCUUGUAGUUGGGGGUAAUCAGAACGACGACCAAAUGCUUUUGAGAUGAUUCUGUUUGGCUAAGUACAAUCUAGUGAAGUUGCAAGGAAGUUGAAAUUUCUUUGGAGCAAAUAGAAUAAAGAACUAUAUAACCACAGUAGGAGUGGGGGCCAAAGGUGAAUGUCCAUUUUCCUUUUAAUUCUUCUUUUGCUUUUGUUUCCAGUACAGGCUGAAGAAGAAGAAGAUGCUUAGUUAGUUUUAGUAGACGCCUAGCGCAGUGAGUGUCCUUCUUUGAUAGGGUAGCUGGACUCCAAUUGCAUUCGAUCUUUCCAAGAUCCAUGAUAGUUAAAAAAUACUUAAAUGAGGUUGUGACUUUUGCUUCUUGUGUUUGGUGAAUGGUGAUACUGCUUCACUGUGUGUGGUGGCUCGUGCCAUUCUUUGGGACAUGGCCACGUGAUGUUAUUAAUUUCAACAUCAGGCUAGGAAAAGUCUAAAUUGUUUUCCUUAUACUGCUUUUUUUUAUUUUAAAUAAAUAAAUAUCGUGACUAGGACAAUUCAGGAGUGAACCGAAACUGGAAGGUUGUAUUCUGAUUUUUUUUAAAAUUAAUAAUAAAUAAUAAAGACGCAAUUGGUGUAAGCGCUCUAGGGUUGGCAAUUUAAGGGCCUGGGCCGGGCUUUGCCAAGCCCAGGACCAGGCCCAUACCUUAUUUAAAAAAUCCAGGCCCUCUUAAAGUCCAUCCAAAAUGAGCGGGCUUUGGGCGGGCCGGGCUUUGACGGGCCUGGGCCGGGCCUUAACGGGCCUGGGCCGGGCUUUUACGAAUUUUCAAAAAAAAAUUAAUAAAACUAUAAAUUUUCAAAACAUAAUUAUCCAAUACAUAAUACUACACAAUAGACUAAAAACUUAAACAUAAUUCUCUAAUACAUGAUUAACCAACACAAAAUAUAAAAAUACUAACAUCACAAGUACCAUACACAACGUAAUCAACCACUAAUAUAAAAAAAAAAAAAACUAAUCCAAAAACUGGUGGGUGGGAGGAAUCGCGCGGCUGUGCUGGUGGGUGGGAGACUGGGAGGCGCUGCUGGACACGCGAGAGAUGCUGUUGCUGCCUUGCUGGGUGGCUGGACGGUGGCUGAUGCUGCUGCUGCUGGAAUUUGUUGCUGCUGCUGCUGCUGCUGCUGGAAUCUGUUGCUGCUGCUGCUGGACGGUGGGUCGCUGAUGGUUGAUGGCGCUGCUGGACACGCGAGAGAUGCUGUUGCUGCCUUGCUGGGUGGCUGGACGGUGGCUGAUGCUGCUGCUGCUGGAAUUUGUUGCUGCUGCUGCUGCUGCUGCUGGAAUCUGUUGCUGCUGCUGCUGGACGGUGGGUCGCUGAUGGAGGCUAAAAACUUAAAUAUAAUUCUCUAAUACAUGAUUAGCAACACAAAAUAUAAAAAUACUAACAAUACAAAUACCGUACACAACGUACAAAUCAACCACUAAUAUAAAAAAAAAACUAAUAGAGAUUUACCGAUUUAGGAAUUUUGACAUUUUGUGACAAAACCUUUGCCCUUUCCCUUUGCCCGAUUUUUUUAUUAUUUUGUUUAAUUAUUUUUUCAAUUUUAUAAUAUAUUAUACAUUUUUUAAUAUAUAUAUAUAUUAUUUAUUAUUUAUUAUAAAGCCCAGGCUUUUCAUUUAGGCCCUUGACUGAGCCCAUAUGUUAUGGGCUUUAUUAACUUUGAGCCCUUACCCAUAAUUUCAAGCCACGGGCCGGGCUUGAAGCCCGCGGGCCUGGGCCGGGCCGAUGCGGGCCUGGGCCGGCCCGGGCUUUUCUGCCAACCCUAAAGCGCUCUUACAUAGAUCGAGUUAAGCUGCUCAAAAAUGCCGAAAGCAUCACAAGACUCGCAUAAAAUUUUUACUAAAACAAGAAGAAAUUCAUAACACUUUUGUUUUUUUUAUUUUCUCAACUUUUUUAGAUACGGUGUUGGGUUAUAUUUUAAUAUUAUUUUUUUUUCUGAAAAUGGAAAAGAAAAAAAAGGAAUAAACGAAAGGAACAAGAGGAUCAAGAUCAAAUGGCUCCAAUAUUCCGAGCUGAUUGUUAUUCUUUUUACUUUUAUACCGGACAGAAUUAUAUGAAAAAAGGUGAAAGGGACCCCAAAAAGAAAAAGAUAAAGAGAACAAGAAAAAAAAAGGAUCUUCAUUUCCUAUGCGUGUAUGAAUUUAAUGUAUUUUUAUAUUAACAGAGCGUCCUGCACGUACAAUAAUCUGCUUACAAUUAGUAUUUUACUCGCUGGAUUUAUCGGUUGAACGGUCUUUUCUGAACAAGCUUUUCUUAAAGUGUUUCUGAGUAUGUCUAUUACUUUGUUUAUUUAUUUAUUUAUUUAUUUUAGGGAUAUUAUUAUUUUUACACUAAAGUUAUUCUGACACAUCACGUCAGUAUUACGAUUUGCUAAACCUAUCAUUUUACCAUCAAACGUUUAAUUUGUUAGUAUUUUCUCACUAUUUCGUUAAAACUCAGUUAAUAUUUAACGGAAAAUACAUAAAAAAUCAAUUUUACCCCUGGAGCAUAAAAGACGAUUUUAACCUUUGAAAGGAAAGAACAACAACAGAUGGUUUAAUUAUAAAAUUACUCCCAAAAGACGACGAGACGAUUUUAACUUUUAAAAAAGAAGAACAACAAAAAAUAAUUUAAUUACAAAAUUACCCUCAAAAGAUGACACUGCUGCGAGAGUGAGAGAGAUAUAGGUCAGUGACAGUUAGCAAGAGAGGGCGGAGAUGGAACAAGAAACGAGAGAGAGGGGGGUUGAUUUCAAUUUCUGGAUGACUUACAAUAAACCAAAGCAUGUAUGUGGGUCAAAACUAAAUAAUCAGAGCAAAUGUCAAAUUGGAACAUGGAAACAAUAAUAGAAGACUUCAUUUCGAUUACCGAAAGAAAGAAUCCGCGAAGCAAUAAACAUGUGUUGGAAGAUUGUGCUGAUACUAUAUAUCAGAUUAUAAAUUAUUUGUAGUUGGUAAACAAUGUAAUAAGUUUCAAACAAUGUAAUAAUUUUUAAAUUGUUCAUUGCAAUGUAAUAGUUUUCAUAUUGAUGAAUGUAAAUUUCAAUUCAAAUGCCAAUUGCAAAUUUUCAAUUUCUAUUAAA